UAUGAAAACGUUCAGAGCUAGGUCUUGC
rnacentral:sRNA from 1 species